rnacentral:lncRNA from 1 species
UUGGUUUUGAUUUUGGUUUGCUUACAAGAAAAAUAGUUUUGUGAAUGAAAAAGUAAAACUACAUAUUUACAAUUCAAAAGAAGAAUAGUGGUUUGGAAACAUGAAUGUAAAGUUUCUUAACUUUUUCAAUAUCAACAUGAUAAGCUUUAUGCAAGUUAUUUUAGUGUGAUUCUAUCCACCAUACAUUAUUUCUUAACCAACCAUCCCGGGUAUGGUCAAGGUUAGAUGAUUUUCAAACCUUGCUUAAUAUACUACCCCUCAUUGGUUUCCACUUGUCGAAAUGAGCCUGCCACAUCUCUUUUCAGCUUCCCCAAAGCUUAAUAGCAUUGCAAACAAGUUGCUUAUUUCAAAUUCUUUCAAAUGGCAAAUGUUCUUUCCCAACACUUUGGCCUUAAAACAUUUGUUAUUUCAUCUAACAAAAGAGUUUGAAUCUUUGAAAAUAUAUUUUAGGUGAUCAAUCUAAAAUAAGCAUCCAGAGCAGAUGAAAUGAAACAAUAGAUUAAAACACAUAACUUACAUUAAUAAAUUAGAAUCAAUACGUUGAGUAAUAAAUGGUGCACUAUUGUCCAAAUCUGUGAGUAAUUAGCCUUCCAUCAAGGAUGCUUUAAACUCCAACUAUUGAUCUGAGAACAAGCUCCAAGAUCACACUUUUCCCAACUCCUACUCCCCCCGAAUUUCCUAAAGAGAAAGUAAAUUACCUAAGCUUCUAUAAGUAAAGAAUAGAUUGCACUACAAGUGAAGAAAGAAUUGGAAUGAGAUUACGAAGAAUGGAAUGGAACGAAUGGUGAAGGGUCCUUUAUAUAGGUUUUUAUUAAUCCGCUAAGCCCCUUUUUGGCAUGCUCAACGCCUAUCAUCCAGCCAAGUUGUGGUGCUUGGCUCAUUUGGCCAAGCAGCUGCUAGCUAUGGAUAAGCUUAGCCUAACCAUGUUGUUGUCCAGGCUAGCAUCAGCCUAUUGUGGGCUAAGUGAAGCAAUUUACAUGUUGGUACACAAGGGUUCUAAACUUCACCUAGAGGGGGUGAAAAAGUGAUUCGAUACUCGCACAUCUUAGGUACCCAAAUGAUCUUAGGUCUCUUGAUGUUAGUUACUUUGAGAUCUUGACCCUUACUAAUCCACAUAUACUACCCAUUUGGCACACCAUGCAUUCUAAUAUGACAUGAACUCAAAGUAUGACUAUGCACACCAUAAUAGAAACAAUUAGGAGACUUAUGAUACGAAAUUUUAGAAAAAAUCUACUUCUUCUUUGUAAGAUUUGUUCUUUGCAUGAGUAUAAAUCAAACCAGAUCUAUUCCCAAUGUUUCUAUAUGUAGCAAGUAAGUUGUUUAAGUUGUAACUACUUGUUGUGAGAUUUGCAACUUUAUCUUUUAAAUUUUUUAUUCUCUUUUUCCAAAAAAGUACGUGUUUCACAAGCAGACGUCACAUUUAAUUUAGUAAACAAUCACAUGAAGAGUUAGCAUAAAUAAGAUCCAAGGUUUCAUUUUAUAAUUUAAGCUCGUCAAUUUUUUGUUGUUGCAAUUCACAGAUUCUAUUUUCAUGUUCCAAUAUUAACCCUUUUCAGUCCACAUACUUUUGUGCUAACUUUUUAAGUUCUUCACGCAUUUCAACAUAAGCACCAUAUAGCAUAUCAUAAUGGGGAAAUCAUCAGAAUUGCCAUCAGGAUCGGAAGAGCUUACCUCACUAGAUUCAACUUGCACACUAAUUUGGCAAGAUUUCUAGUUUUAUACCAUAAGGCAUAGCUUCGUCGAUUCUUCAUCUUCCGAAGUGCUAGAUGUUGUGUCCUCUUUGGAUACAUUCCAAACGAUGUAUGCAUUCUUAGCCUUGUGUCCUCACCUUUGGUUGUCAUGUCCUAUCAAGACAUCUUAAAACUAUGUUAGUCAAUUCACCAUUAACAAACAUUUUAUCUAAAGCAAUAAGAUGGUUAACAAUGUGAGUAAAUCGUUUUUGCAUAUCGCUAAUAGAUUUGUGUGAAAACAUGUGAAAUAACUCAUAUUCAUGUGUCAAUGCAUUUAAUCUAACCCGCUUAACCUCACUAGUGCCUUCAUGAGUUACUUGUAAAGUAUCUCACAUUUCUUUGGCACUCUCGCAUUGUGAAACUCUAAAGAACUCAUCAUAUAAAAGUGCAGAAAUAAUUAUGUUUUUAGCUUUCAAAUCAUGCUACACUUUCUUCUUUUCCUCAUUGAUCAAGAGACUUUUUGGCAAUUUAUUUAGUUUCACCUUCCACCAAGUCUAGUGGAAUAUAAGGUCCAUUUUGUAUGGCAUCCCAAAUAUCUGUAUCUAUGGUCUCAAUGAAUAUCCUCAUUCUAAAUUUUCAGUAGGCAUAGCUUUCUCCACUAAAGACGGGAAGACGAUUGAUAGAGGAUCCUUCACCACAAAAAGAAAUCGUAGAGUCUAUUGUGUAUAUCCCUAGGAUCACACAAAUUAGCGAUUAAGCUAGUAUCUUCGAACUAGCUCUGAUGCCACUCAUUGGUACACAAGGACUCUAAACUUCACCGAGAUGGGAGAUCGAAUAGGUGGUUUGGUACUCGAUUACUGUUUCUCGAUUAAAAAGAUAUUCAAUGAUUAUCCUCACUGCCUAAUCGUUUAACAUAUGCCUUGAUCGAUUAAUUGUUUCUCAUAUAAUCGAUUAACUCAAGAACUUAAUGGAUUAACCAGUUAUUGUUUCUUGAAAACUUGUUUUCUUUAUACACAAAGAUGCAAAGAUUCGACUAAACUUGUAUUCAAUCUACCAGAUGAUAAUAUGCAGUUAACCGCAUAGAACAAAUCAUACAAUUAACACAGGAAGAUUAAAAUUCAAAGUAAAGUAAAUCAAAUAAUGUGAUAACUUAAAGAGUUAAGGGAUAAGAAGAAUGAGACAAUAACUUUUAUCCUGGUUCGUUUGCUUGUCCACGUGCAAACUAUAUUCAGACCUCCCCUUCUGAUCUUGGGAGAUUUUCUUCAAUGUGAAAUAAAUGUUUUACACACACACUUCUACCAAGACAAUCUUGGACUCAAGCUUCUAAUGGCUUAUCUUCACCCACUUCUAAUGACUCUUCACCAUUUCUAAUGGACGACCCCACCACUUCUAACUUCUCUACCAAAACUCUUGUAUAGUGAAUCUAGCUUCUAAUGGAUUCUCGCCUCUUCUAACCAUGGUUUCCCAAACCUUUUCUCUUCUUCUUAGUGAGAACACACACCAAAGAGAAAUAUUAAUAUAAUCAUCUACAAUGUGUACAAAAUGAGUAAUGCACCUUAAACUGUUGAAUAUACAUACACUUCCAGAAUCUAAAACCUCUCUAAAAGUUUGAUACAACCCAGAAUUAAGAUGUGAGAUGCAAGAUUUUGUAAACUUGAUUUGACUAUGAAAAUAUUGAAAUACUUCUCUAAAGAUUCAUAUUUCGUUUCUUGUGUAUCAAAACACUUUUCUCUCUUUCUCAGAAACACAUUAGAAAAUCUAUCUUUUGAUGUGAAAGUUAAAAUCAAUCUGAAUUUCAUUAUGAGAUGCAAAUGAGAAAAGUUGGUUUAAAAUACAGUUUUAUUUUCUAGUAUAGUUUAUCGAUUAAACAUUCUAUUUAAUUGAUUAAAAAUCUUUGAAAAUCAAGAUUUCAGAUACUGUAAUUUCCAUUAAUCGAUUAACCCUUAACUUAAUCGAUUAACGAGUUCCCGUUUUGCAUAACUUAAUCGAUUAACUAAACCUUAAUCGAUUAAGGGUUUUCUGAAAAGUUACUUUAGUGUGAUAUAACAUCCUACAUGAUUUGUAAAAGUAUGAUGCAUGAUUUUGAAUGAUGUAUGAUUUAAACUUUCUUUAAUACAUCAAAAUCAUGUGAUCAUGUAUUCAUGCAUGUGCAUGUAAAUUAUAUAUGUAUACAUGUAAGUCUCAUUAUUAGUUAUGAUCAUAUUUUAGUUUGUGAGACUUUCAUUAACGUCCACCUAACCUAGACUCUACCCAAUCAAACAUUUUAAGACAUAAGAUAAUAGAAAAUACUUUUAGCCUUAUAGAUCUUCUUGAAUGCUUUAACUUUGAGUGAACUUGAGCCUUUGAUUUAUUGUUUGUUUAUUUGUCAAUAUCUUCAAAGUUGUCUUUAAACUUUGUCUUCGUCAAAAUCCAUGUGAUACAUGCUUGUAUUUACAAUCUCUCUAUAUGAUGCAUACUUACAUUUAAAAUAAUUACAUGUCCUUUUAUGUGGCAAUAUAUUGUCUUAUAAAUUUGGUCUUCAUUAAAACUAUGAUAUCCAUAGUCUUCAAACUAACAUGCAUUUAAGCUUUCAAAAUUCUAUAUGUUAAUGUCGUUAAUCGUUAUCGAUAACAGGGUGAUUGUAAUGGGGAUGAUUGUGUCAAACAUGAAUCGUGUAGAAGAAUGUAAGUUAUGUAGAUGUCAUUUGUCUCUCAUAUGUAAUGAGAGUAAAUAUCAACAUAUCACUUGAUAUAUGGGUAUACUUUAAAAUGAUAAAUAUGAGAUAUUUAUUUCUAGAAAGUCUUCUCGGAUAUCAAGAAUCGUAAAAUUGAAUAUACAAGUAUGACAACUCAACACCUUUACUUUAAUUAGAUGAUAUAUGGACAAAGAGACCAAUAAUUUAAAUAUUAUUGUCACAUAAUAAGUUAAUAUAUUUAAUUAUUAUAACCUAAAAAUGCAAGACAUAGCUUGAGGGUCAUAAACAUAUAUUUAACCCAUUCGAUAUUCUUAUAUUCCCUGAGAGUGCUUCCGCUGCAUUCUUAUAAAUAGAAUAUGAGAUGUUAAAACCCAUUUUAUAAAAAAAUAAGAAUCACUUAGAGUCUUGUCUCUUCUAGAACAAGGUGCACGCACGUUUUUCUAGUGGAUGUGGUCGUGUGGACUUCUAUAAAGACUAUGAUACAAUUGCUUCGUUUUCUCACUAAUCUUUAAUUCUUAAUCCUGUUGUUCGUUUUCCUCUUGGAACUUUGAAACAUAAUCUGAAAGUCCUUUCGUCCGGUGAAUAGUUUUUGAGAAAAAAAUGUUGUAUCCACAAUGUAUUGAGAUGUAUACACUAUUAUUAUAUUAUUCAUAUUUAAUUAUAAUUGACUCUUCCAAUAAAUAUUAUAAUGACUAUGUAUAAAUAUCUUUAAACUAACGGUACAUAGAUAUUACAUUCAAUUUUUUAUAAUGCAAUUAUUUUCUAUAUGAUUCCCUACAAUAUCUUCAUCUUCCUCCACACUAGCUAUACCUUAUCCUAAUUCUUCUUCUUCCUCCUCCCCUUUGUUUUACUCACAUCCCUAGAAUCCAUCACCUUACAACCAUUCUCACCACCACACAACAAGCAAAACCCAAACCAAGAAUUUCAAAGUCCAAACACCCUUCAAUAUCCUACCACUACUAUAAUCACUGCCAAUAAAUCGGGGUACAACCCCAUAUGAUAAAGCAAAUGAGUAACAAAGAAAACUCAUAAAUUAAAAUAGAACAUGGUUUCGGUCUAUGGUACCAAAGUCGCCAUCUAAGGCUGAUGGUGGCUCAAAGACCUCACAUUUAUUAGAGAUAGUUAGAUUGAUAGAGAAUUAUCAUAUCCAAGAUUUAGUUUUUUUAUUUUAUUUGAAUUUAUUUUUAAUUUAUGUUUACCUUAUUAGUUAUUUUUUAUUAUUAUUAUUAUUAUUCUAUCAUUUUUAUAACAACUUUUGCACAUAUAAUACACCACAUCAAAUGACUUAUAUUGAGUUUGAUCAAUAUUUAUCAUCAUAAAUUUCUACAACACAGACAUGACUAAAGUAGACACUAGACAACAAGGGGUUUUACUGGACAAUAGUAUCGAAAUAUAUUUUGUUAUUUAUGGUUAAUAAAUAUUUAUAAAAUAAGUUGAUUAGAUAGUUAGGAGUUAAAUAAAGUUAAGUCUCUUAUAUUUUAUAUAUAAUAAUAUAAUGGUUAAUUUCAUUAUAAUUCAUUCGUUAUCAAUUCAUUAAAUCCAUUAAAUUUAGUAUCAUUUUAAUCAUUCAAUAAAUAAAUACAUCUUUUGUUAUUACUUGAUUUCUAAAGUAGAACCAAGAUGCUGUUAGUACUAUGAAGCUUGUUAUGAUGGUUGAUCGUGGUCCUCAACAAAUCACCACCAUAGCAACUGCUGGUGUCAAUUGGAAAGAGGGCGACUCAUGGUGGUCCCGGGGUUCAAAGGCGACUAGGUUGUGCCAAGACUUUAGAUGAUAUCAAAUUUGUGAAGCCAUUAGUUCAAUGCAUUUCAAUUGAAUCAACCUCUAUGAGGAAAAUGGUCUUUUACUUAUUAUAAAUUCAUGGAUUUGAAGUACCAUUGUGGGUUUGAUAAAGGAAUAAUACAAUAGAAUGGCUAGCUUCAUGGAUAUGAUUAGACAGAGUUGUAGAAAGUUUGGUUAGAGAGGAUGGAUAAAGAUCACUUAUCCCAUAUAUUCAUAAUUUUGUCUCAUCUAAUGUUACAUCAUUUAAAAUUUAUAGCUCAUCAUGUAAACAAAAUACAUAUUCCUAUGUUUCCUUCUCCUUACUAAAAUAGAAUAAAACAUUUCGUGACAUAUAUUAUUAAGCAGAAACUAUAUACUGAUUUUUUUAGUUGUCUCAUACUUUUCACUUUUGUUUGUAGACGUUUGAAACUUCAGAAAUUUAUUUGAUAGUAAAAAAUCUUUAAGGAACUAAAUACUAACCAAAAAAUAAAUUAAGGGAUCGGGUAAUGGGAUUUGCCUUACAAAUAUAAUGUAAAAUACAAUAAAACUCUUACCACGACCACUAUUUGUAAUAAAAUGGAAACAUUUGAUCUGUACAAACACACCCUUAGUCUCUUUUGACACUCGUUCUACUCUAUAAUAACAAAAAUAGGGCUUACAUUAUCACUAAACAGAAUUAAUGGUAAAAAUAAAAAUUAGUAUACCCAACUUUCAACCCUACUUCAUAAUAACCUCCUAGGACCAAUUAACCCAUGUUACUGCCACUAUUAAACACAGAACACUGCGCCACCGGUCUUGACAACUGUCCCCCAGCACUGGCCGGACACGUCAUCAGGUCCGCCGGCGGAACCAUACAGUUAUAGGACAAACACAAUGAAACCGCAUCGGGCAACACCAUUCCGACCUUCAGCGAAAUCCCCGUAAAGUAGUUAUGCUGAAGGUACAAUGUUCUGGUGCUACCGUUGCACACGCUGUUAACAUACUCCUCAGGCACCUUCCCACUGAAACGGUUAUUAUUCAAAAACAAACUCUCAACUCCUUCAAAAACCGUUGAUAUUUCACCACUCAAUGAGUUAUGACUAAGAUCAAUGAUCGAUCCUGGACUGUACGAUAAGGACCCUUUAUUGGAUCUUUCUGGAAGCCCACCAGAGAAAUUGUUCCGUUGCAAAAAGAGAGAAGAAAGUGUGGGCCUGAAUAAAAGUUGGGCCGGGAUUGGCCCAUUAAACUGGUUCAUGCUCAGGUCGAGGAAAACUAACUCUGAUAGUGAUUCAAAGCCGUUGGUGAGUGGACCCCACAUUCUAUUAUUUGAUAGCGAUAGAUAACGGAGUGAUGACGUCAUUGACGUUGGUAACGGUCCUUGUAGGUCGUUGUUCUUCAAAUCAAGAUGGAGUAACGGCGCGGAAACGUUUUCUGGCAACUCGCCGGUUAGUGAGUUUGAGGCUAAGAUUAGAACCUUGAGCUGUGGUAACUCGGUUAGACUCGGUGGGAUUGACCCAGCGAGUUGGUUGUUACUCAGGUCAAGAGUGUGGAGGGCUUUGAGGGAAGAAAAUGAAGUGGGAAUGGAACCUGUGAAGCGGUUAUUGGGCAACGAGAUGACUCGGAGAUGGGUGAGUUGACCUAGUUCGGGUGGGAUUGGACCGGUUACGAUUCCUGGGGAGAGGAUGAGCUGAGUUAACUCGGUGAGGGAGGAGAUAGAGCGGGGUAAUGAGCCGGCGAGUUUGAACGAGUUGGUGCCGAGUGAGAGAAUGGUGACUCGGUUGAAGGAGCAUGUAACGCCGUAGAAGGAGGAGCAGGGAUCUGGUGCGGUGAGGUUCCAUGUGGAGAAGAAAGGUGCAGUUGGUGAGAGUUCGGUGAGAGUGUUUUUAAUUGAGAGAAGGGCUUUGAGAUCGAAAGGGUUAAUGUUUUGGUUUUGUUGAAGAGAUUGGGAUGAGAAAAGAAGAAUGAAAUGGUAUAAGAGAAGAAGAGCGUGACGUGGACUAGUCAUGAAAUGUGAAAGAAAAAAUGAGAAGAAGGCUGAAGUGUUUGUGAGUGUGAGUGCAAGAAGCAAAGAUAAGAAAGUUUGGUACAGUAUGGAAAAUAAAUAAAGAGAAGUUGAUGGUGAAGAGGACAGAACAGUGCUUUUGGUACUUUAGAUGAAGUGAUAAGAGAGAGCAAGGAGAACAAGAACAUACGUAAAUAAUGGACCACAUCUCUUCUAUCACUUUUUGUAUGAUUAUAUGUACAAAAAUUAAAGUUGUAAAAAAUUAUUUAAAUUAAGUAUGUAAUUAUUAAAUAUUUUUAUGUCAAAUUGUAUCUUAUAGUGUAUAAAGUUGUAUAAAAUAGUGAGACAACAUAUGUCUAACCUAAGUUGGAUUAUAUCUGUUGUCUCACUUUUUCUAUCACUUCAUAUACUAUUAAUUCCAAACCAUAAUUCAUUUAAUGAAAUUUUGAUAUAUAAUAAAAAGAAUAUAAAAUUUAUAUACGGGAAAGAUUUAUACACAUUUCACGAUUCACCAUUAAUUUGGAUUAUAUAUUUUUUUUGAAAAGUCAACAAUAACAAUUAAAUAUCAAUGAUGGAUAAUAUAAUAACAAUAUAUAAAACUCAUAUAUCAUCAAUGCAUAACCUUUUUUUAAUAAAAAAUUUACGUAUAACUUAAUUUUAUUUUUCACUGACAAAAUUCCUUAGGAUUAGACAUGUUGCGGAGAUGAUUUUGGGAUAGGUAAUAGGUAGAUGAGAGGUCACAAGAUUAAGUGUUCAUGGUUCUCAAUUUCGGAUGAAUAUCUUCUAUCUAAAUUCGUUUUCUAUUUGUAUAUCAGGUCAAUCAAAAUAUCUUACUUUAUUAGGAAAAUAAAAAUAAAAUUAUAAAUUUUUUUAUUUAUAUUAUUUAGUAUUAUUCUAUUAAGUAAAGAUACAGUGUCACUCUAUUAGAUAGAGAUAUAGGGACAUGGUCCUUUUGGGAUAGAGUAUCCCUCCCUCAACUUUUUUUUGAAUGAAGUGAAACAAUGAAAGGAGCUCAUGCAUUGUGACAGGGUAUGAGAAAUGACGUGGGUCCCAUUCCCAGGAUUAUUGUGCGAAGGAAAUAACUAGCCGCAUUAACUAACAUAGAGAUGCUGAAGUUAGCAAAUUAGCUGAGACUAGCACCGGAAAAUUGGAUCAUGUCUUGUCUACAUGUUAUUAUUGGUGAGUAUGACAUAAAAAUUGUCUCCAUUAACCCAAAAUAUUUAUUCCAUUGCCCAUUGGCCAUUUUAUAAUAAUACUACUGCCUAGGCCCAAUUUAGGAAAGGAAGUUCGAACCCAAGCACAUGAGCACGACAGAGGAACAUUCACAAUACAAAUGGCAAACACCCGGUCACAAAUCCCAAAUGCAUUUGAGCUUUGAGGCAGACACGCAUGACAAAUGAGAAUGUAGAAGAGUCAGCGAUGACAAAAACGCACUCAGGCAGUGACGACAGGGAUGAUAGCUUCAAGAGUAAUAAUGUGUCCAAAGAUAGUCUCACAUUUUAUUUAUCACAUUUUCUCAAGAAUGAUUUACAUAUAUAUUCAACUAUCAAUUAGAGCAACACAAUAACAUUAGAGCAAAACAUCAAUUUGUCGUAAGCCAAAAGAUAUUAUUUGAUAUUGGAUCAAAGGUAACUAACUUAUUACCUAGUCUGCUAGACUUAGAUGGAGAAAAAAUGAUAAUUUCACAUUACAUGUCUCAUUUUCUCAAGAAUUGUUAAAUACCAUUGACCUACUUCUCUCAAUGUGAACUGAUUUUAAGAUGAAAUUUUUACACAAAGUCUAAUGAAAGCUAGUUUUCAUGUUUGUCACUCAAAUCCUAUUUUCCUUCAAUUAUUGUGUUGCUUUUUUUUUGUAUAACCAAAGGUAUUCAUUCAUCCUAUGGGUAAAGAACUAAUUCAUAUGUCUCUUUUAACAAGUAUUGUUUAUAAGAAUAGAAUUUGUUUUAGUCUGGGAAUUCAAUCUGUGUUAUGAGUCUAUUCAUGAAGCUUCUAUUUUAGAAAUCUAUGAUUUUGGGUUUGGAGAAUAUAAAGAGUUUGGAAAUAUUGUAAUUAUUAUGAAAAUUAUCAAUUUAUUCAAGAAUACAAAAAAAUGGGGCACCUAACAUAAGUUGGCUUGGAAUUAGGUUUCAUAAUAGAGAAUAUUUCGUUCGUACUUGAUGAGUCAUGAUAAAAAAUGGUCACCUUUAUUCCUUUAAUCCCUGACAAUAACCAUCUUCAAUAUUUAAAAUUAGAGCUAUAAAAAACGUUACUUGGAUGGGUUCAAGUUAGUCCACACAUGGUUUGGACUAAACCGGAAAAUGCCGAGUACAAUUAAUGUAUAUAAAAAAUCCCAGCUAUAAUUUAUGCAUGUGAAGUUGCAUCCCAAAUCUAUCCUAAUCCAAUUGUGGGUUAUUGCGGGUGUCCCCUUAAUAUUAAAAAAUGUUUAUUUAAAUAUUAACCUAUUAAUCUAUUUUUCUAAAAUAUAUGAUUUGAUAUUAAUAUAUAAUUUUUUAAUAUAUUUAUUAUGCUUAAUUCAACCAAACUAAUAGAUCUAGUGUUUUAUGUUUGAGUUAAGACAUAAUGUCAAGUCCACAUAUACGAUUUUUAACAUAACACGUUUAUUAAAUUUCUUAUUUCUAUUGGACUCUCACUUCCUAACACAAUAUAAUAUGUGAUUUUACUUUAAUUUUUAAACCUUUGGACACUAUCAAAAAUAAUAUAUGUUAGUUUAUAGUAAUGGUAGUAUAGACCAAAGUUUAGAAGAAACUCUAUAUGUCAAAGUUUAACUCAUGAUAUAUAAUCAUCAUUCUUUACUUUCUGUACGAAUAUCAUUUGUAUGUUCAUUAUCAAAACAUUCAUUGUGAACUGGUAUGAGUUAAAUCAAUACGUUGUAAUAACAAAACAACGACGCUUAAAAUUGUGACUGCAUUUGUGUAUAGGGUUAGAUUCAACAAUGUUUUUGAAGCGCUAUAGAAAGUAAACAUUUAACCGUGCUCUCUAAAGUAUUGUUGUUAAAUGUCUACUUUAUAAAUAAGGCAAAAUCCCUCUCAGACAUUAUAUCAAAUACAUAACAAGCAUGCCCAAUUCCAUCAUAUUUACAAGAAAUUUGACAAUAGAAACAUCAUUAUGAAAACCCAAUUCAUAAAACAUUGCAUGAACUUGUCUUUCUUAGUUCAAAUUCAUUAGCCGAGAAGAUUAUAUGCAAUAAUGAAAUGGACGAAGAUGAUAAAGAUGUAGAGGACAAAUCCAUGAAUUUCUUAUCUCCCUUAAUAGAAGAAAUAAGAUGACAAAAAACAUAGUUUAUAUAAUAUAAUAAGAAUCAAAUCAAAAUUUACAUAGAAAAUAUGGAUGAAAAAAUAAUAGCCAAAUACAAGAAAUACAUACAGAUAUUUCAAGUUUCGUAAAUCACCAAAAGCUCCACCUGAAUUCAAUCUUACAUUUCCUAUAUUAUUAAAUAACUCAUUAACGUAGAUGUAAAUGCAAGCAACAAGAAUGAAUCAAAGAGAAAUAAAUGAGGUAAAAUAAGAUAGCGAUUCACCUUAUACUCGAAUAGAAAAACCAAAAACUAAUAACUUGCUUGAAGAGAGAGAAACUAAUAGAAGAAGAGUAAGAGCAAUAUAAUACUAAAUGAUAUGUGAAUUAUUUAGUGUGAGGUUUUCUUUUUAAAUCUGCAAAGAUUCACGUUCACUAAAAGAAAUACGUUGUUUGAAUGUAUGACUUUUAACAGUGCUCACUAAAGCAAACAUGUUAAAUGUGUGACUUUUAAGAGUGCUUAUUGUAAUGAGCGAUGUUGAUAUAUCACUUUUAACAAUACUCGUUUUAGCAAACACUGUUGAAUAGAUUUAAAUCAACAUCGUUUUCUUGAAAGAGCGUUGUUGAAUAUCAAAAUUCUUUAAAAUUAUUUAGUUGUUAUAUUAUGUUCAACUUUUGAGAAUGGAAUAGCAAAUAACUUAAUUUACUUACUAAAUAUGAGUUUUUGUUGUGUCAAAUUACACACAUUAAUAUUCUAUUUUAAUAAUAUUGGUCGGUGAUUUAGAAUAUUUUUUGAAGUAAUAACUAAUUGCCUUUUACGUAUAUGUAUGACCAAAUUGUGUUAUGUAUAAAAAACUAACAUAAUUUAUGUUAAAAAUUUGGAUCAUUUUCAUGUAAUAUUUACUCUAGUUGUAUCUUACAAAGUAAAAUUAAAUAAUUUCAUAAAUAUAUAUUAUGUAAUAACUAAAACAAGCGUUUACGUUGUUUGAAUACAUGACUUUUAACAACACUCAUUAAAACAAACAUGGUUAAAUAUGUGAUUUUUAACAACACUCAUUGUAAUGAGUGCGAUUGAUAUGUCACCUUUAACAAUACUCAUUUAAGCAAACGUUCUUCAAUAAAUUCAAAUCAACAAUGCUUGCUUAAAAGAGUGUUGUUGAAUAUUUUAGGUAGACAUAACACAGUGCUCGUUGAUGCAAGCGUUGUUGAAGCUAUAUCCGCCUAUCAAAUUUAACAAUGCUUGCUUAAAAGAGCGUUGUUGAUUAUCUUCCAUCUUUUAUUUAACAGUGUUGUGCUAGGAAGCGCCGUUAAAUGAUCGUUGUUAAAUGCGUAUUUUGACGUAGUAAAUUUAGUUACGUGGAGUUCUCUAUGAUAAAAAUUUAUGAUGUAUUUUAGUUUUGUUGUAAAAAUUAUUGUUUUUUAUUAUGUUUUUGUUGCAAAAGUUAAAGAGAAAACGAUAUAUACACUAACAAGGUAAGAGUUUUUUACAUUGUCACUACAUCAUUCACCAUUCAUUUUUAAUUACCAUUGACUUUUAAAAAAAAGUAAUCCGAAUGAAAGUUGGAUGAUACACUGACUGUGUAUACAUAUUUACAUCAUCAGUGCAUAAAUUUAACACUCAAAGUUAAAUAUAAUUAAAUACACAAUUAAGAAAUGAAAUACAUAUGGUUUAACGUUUCUUCUCAUUUGAUUUGAAAGACUAUCUUGUUCUUGUGCAAUGACAUUAUACAAAAUAUGACGAAUUAUAUAGUGCUUUACUUUAUAACAUUAUUUUAAUUUAUAAAUAUUCACAUUAUAAAUAUUACUUUAUUUUAUAUUUUCAAAGUUCAUCAGAUCAAUAUUUAUUAUCUAUUUUUAUUAUAAGUCUAUAGUAUUAUUAUGUUGGAAAAUAAUCUUCACUUACGAUUUAUUAUCGAACCAAUGAUCCAAAAAAAAAGAGAAUAGAACGGAUAGCCCAAACUGGCUGAGUAAGCUCGACCUAAAUACAAUUUUAAUAUAGUUUAGUCGAUCCGGGCUAGAAGAUAUGGAUUCAAUAAAAAGUACCUCAUAUAAUAUUCAAACCCUAUAAAUUUUUGGGCUAUGGCAGACCGGCCUGAUGGAGCUCGCCUAUUUUGACACCUAUGUUUAAAACCAUUUCUAAAAUAAUAAGGUUUUUAACUUACUUCCUACCAUAUAUAUGUCUUCCAUUAAUUUGUUGAUGUCCCAAAAUUUAUUUGUGGCCAAUUCUUUUUACUAUAUAGUUGUCUAAUUGACCUUCUUUCAAGGAGGCUUUACUAUUUUGAAUACGUUAUUUGUGUUAGUUUUAAGACAGAUGAUGCAGAUGCCAAAACACAUUAACCAAUUGGAAAAAUAGAGUAUAAAAUUAGGGCUUGCUUGUGAGCAAUAAAGAUGAUAUUUCAUGCUUUUUCCAUAUUGCUAGCUGCAAUAGUUUCUACCCCACAACAUUUGAGUUUCACUUACCAUAUUCUAUUUAAAGCAUAAAAAAGUGGAAAAAGUACAUGUACUACCACUUUCACCACGCUUUUUAAUUGAUCCGUAAGGAGUUGUAAUUUGAAAAGGAAGUAAUUAUUUAAAUGUUAGAAAAUUCAUUUUUGGAGAAAUAGAUGUUUGAAGAUGGUUCAUACUUUGUGGAUCAAGUAUGUAAAUGUUAGAAAAAUUUGUUUAAUAGAAAUAAGAUUUAGUCCUUCCAUAUUAAUAUUUUCCAUCCAAAGUUAAUGAUGAAGAUUAAAAUAAAAAUUAACUAAAAAAUAUAAAGAAUAAAAACUUAAAACAAAAUACAUGGACUAAAAUCAGCACGAGCAACAAAUGGAGGGAACAAAGUCACAUUUAACCCUUUUAUAAAUCACAUGUCUUUCUUUAUUUAUUUGUAAAAAUAAUGUAAAUAGAUAAUGUUAGAAAACAAUAUUAGAAAUGAUUAUUUCUUAGUUUCAUCUAGUCAUAAAUAACUUGAUUAUUUUCUGAUGAUGGUGGAUAGAGACAACACCCCUAAAAAAUUCUAUUGAAACCAAGAAAUAUAAGUUUGCCCGCUAUUCACAUUAAAAUAAAUGGAGAUUUCGGAGAACACUGAUUGACAAAUAAAUAUUAUUUUUAUAGCCUAUUUGAAUAAAUAAAUCAUAUACUUGGAAAAUUCUAUUUGUCAAAACUAAACAAUAUUAGAAAACUAUUUUCAUAUAGUAACUUAGUCAAAUUGAAAGAUAUUCUCCAAUAGUGAACAUGGUAAUCCAACGGUUAGAAUUGAUUUACUCAACUUUGAAAUAUAUUCUUCUCCAAUAGUGAACUUGGUAAUCUAACGAUUAGAAUUGUUUUGCUUACUUGGAAGACAUUCUCAAUUACUGAACUUGGUGAUCCAAUGGUUAGAAUUGCUUUAGUCAAGUUGGAAGACAUUCUCCAAUAAUGAGCUUAGUGAUCCAACGGUUAGAAUUGCUUUCAUAUAUACUGGGAAGAUAUUCUAAAACAAUGAACAUUGUGAUCAAAUAGUUAUAAUUGAUUUAAUUAACAUUGAUAACAUUAUCCAAUAGUGAAAUCGAUUAUCCAACUCUUAGAAAUGCUUUACUCAACUUGGAGGACAAUUUCAAUGAGGAUAUUUUGUAAUUUUUUUUACUAUUUAUGCUACCUAUUAAUACUGAAUAGAGAUCUUCUAUCUUGAAUUGUGUCCAUAAUGAUAUCCCUACUAAUUACAAUAUGCCAUUCAAUUAAAUAAUAAAAAAAUCAUAAAAGCAGAAUUAUAUUAAUUGAUGUGAUUUGAUUGAAUAGAGACAUGAAGAGACAUAGUUUCUUAGGACAAAUGAUUUCUCUUCGUUAAUGCCUCCAUAAAUCAAUACCCUAUGGGCAUUAUUUGCCAUCAUAAUGUGUAUGAUGUAUAAUCAAUGCACACAUUAUCCAUUCUCCCCUGUUGAGUACUUGACAAAUUUCCCUUAUAGUGAUUUCAAUCACUUAUACUCAUUCACUAUCACAGUUAAGUUCAGUUCCAAGUGUUCAUAAUUGAUUGUUACUAGCAACGUGAUCAACUACCAAAAUGCAAUAAUUCUCGUAAUCAACUACUGUAGUGAAAAAUCCCAAUCAUGGUCGAUUAUUUUUAAGUUUUUAUUGAGAAAAAAUGUGAUAUAAGCCUUAAAUGCUUUUGUGAAAAAAUAAUAUAAUGUCAUAAUAAGAAAUUGUUGUGCAAAUGAAAUUUUAAAUUCGUAUAACAUGAUUGUUGCAAACAACUUUUUAAAACAAAAGUGUAAUUCCAAACCAAGUGAAGGAGUGACCCAAACACAUGUGAAAAAGAGUGAAAUCAACAUUUAUUUUGCCUAAUUAAACUUGUUUUAGUCUUUAGUUCUCUUAAUUGCAUACGAUUGAUAGGAAAGGAUCAAGGCAUGUUUAUUCUUUAGUUGAACUAAAAAUAGUCAAAAAGUCUAACAAAAAAUAUGAUCAUCCUUUGAUAAACCCCUUUGAGCCAAACAAAGUGAAUUAAUUUUUUUCCUAAACAAACCCAUGAACAAAAGAAAGCAUAAAUUUUUAAAGUGAUUGAAAAAUAAUAAGCUGGGGGGGGGGGAAUUGGUAGGCUCGACUUCUUGAAACGAAAAAGUGAAUUUUUUCUUCCAAUAUCUUUACAAAAGCAACAAAAGUUGUAAAAUAAAUGGAGAAACAAAAAGAUAUUGAAAAAGCCAAAAAGAGCCAAGGUUCAGAAGCUAAAAAAGAAAUUAUGAAAAAAAAGAGGAGUAAAAGUGCUUCAUAGAAUUUUUUUGAAAAAUUUGCUCUCAUGAAAUUUGCUUAUCCAAGAAAAACCAUGAUCUUUUCAAGCCUAACUUCAUUACAACUGAAAACAAGUCCUUAGUUAUCCUUGAUUGAAUAUGCAAUUUAAGAGAAUAGGUAAGACAAAGACCAAGUUCAAAUUAUUACAUUCAAAUGGUAGAAUAUUGAGUGAAACACUUACAUCCCUUGAAAAGUUCUAUCUUUGAACUUGUGUGCACAACAAACAUUUUUUGAUUGAAAAUUAUUUGCUUUGAUUUUAUUACAUAUUUUUUGAUGAACAUAAGCAUGAAAAUUAAUGUUUGAACCAUUAUGUGUGAAUUUCAUAAAUCUUGAAAAAUCUCAUUGAAAUGUUUUUAGCAUGCUUAAGCAAAAUUUGAAAUCAUGUCAAUCUAAUCAUAAAAAUUAGCCAAUAUAAUUCGGAUGUGUUUUACCGUUUGUUUAAGGACAAACAAAGUCUUAAGUUGAGGGAUUUUAUAAGUGUCAAAAAUACCUAAUUUUCAUAUACUUUUCAUGGCACUUAUCUUAUGAAAAUCAUGCACAACCAACAUAAUUCAACACUUUUUAGAUAAAUUGUCAUAUUUUGAUUCUAUAUUUUUUGUCCACCUCUUUUCCAAAUCUUUGUGUGAAGUUUCUAGGAAAAAUUAAGAGAAGAAAAAGAAUCAAGAAAAAUUAGUCAAGCAAUGAGGUGUCCACAUAAGCCACUAUUGAUGCACACGCAGCAAGCUAAGUGCUUAACCACAAGCAUGGACCAAAAACAUGAAGCUGCUCACUAAGGAAUCUAGCGUGGACACUUAGCACCGCCCAGCUGAUCUAGCACCAACUUGGCUCGGUUAACACAAACCUUACACGGUGAGACUCAAGCAUGACACAAGCCAACCUGCUGAAGCAGGCAACUCAACGUGCACCUUGGGAUCGUCGAGCUGGAACCACACACCUGGUCAGAGCUGGACAAGUUGCUCAAGGAAUUAGCUUAGCAUGGCCACCUAAGCAGUCAGGCGGGCUGGACCUAACAAAAUGGGUCAACUUGACUUAGCCACCAAGCAACCAUGACAUCACGCAUAACCUCACUUGACAAGGCCUCUGAACACUAUUCAAAAUAGCUCACAAUAGCCUGGUCAAGUAUCUCACAACUAGCUUUGGUCAGUCAAGACCAAGCAACUGACUAAGCUGCUUGGUCAUGGUCCAAACCCAUGCUGAAGGGUUUGGUGCGCCCAGUGUGGAUCAGGAGGGGGCCAGGCGGUCACAGGUUGCCUAUAAAUAGAGGUCAUCUCCCACUCUUCAAAGGCAUUCAAUUCACUUCCAAUUUGCAUUCAAAUUCCUAUUCAUACAAUUUCUACUUGUAAUUCAAGAGGAGAAAGGAGAUGACAAAUGUGAUACAAAAACAUAAAUUAUAAUCUCAUUUGGGUCCAAAAGUAUCUCAUCCUUGGAUAGAUGACUUAUGCUCCUAUAUAUUGAUUUGGAUUAUGGUGUAAUUUUAGUUCUUUUCCUCAUUUGUAUCAUAUUUUGAUUUCAAUACAUUUAAGUUAUUAUUUUUGGUUAAUUUUUUAUUCUUUAAGAAGUUCUUAAUGCGGUUUUAGCUUGAUCACCUAAAACUUGAUUUAAAGAUCUAAAAGUAUAACCUACACCUUACUUCACUUGCCAUAUCAAGCAUCUAUUUUAAGCAACUUAUAUCUAAGGCUAAAUGAUGUUAAUGGAGCCUGAAGUAGGGUGUGACAACCUACUCCGGCAAGUGACACUUAACUAUUAUUUAGUGUAUUACAUAAGGUUUUAAAACAAUCUUAUCAUACUAGGACACUAGAUGAAGGAUUUAGAAAUGGUGUGUGAAAUUAACCGAAAGUAUAACACAUAACUUGUAAUGUUUUUCAAAAUCAUUUGAGUCUAGAAAUAAUUCCAUAUUUCAAACCAAUUUUCUCCUUAAGAAUUUGUGAAUAUUAGUUUAUGUUUCUGUGUUAAUAUAUUUAUGCGACAUAACUAAAAAAUCAUCAAAAAGUUGUUAAUCAUUAUUUUUUUAUAAUCUGCCUAUAAAAUCUUCUUAUAAUUCAAUUCUCUUUGGUUCGACAAAACCCUAUACUAUACUAUAAUUGAAUCUUGAAAAGAGAUGCAAGUGUGGCAUAGUAAAAUGUAGACUUAUAAAUUUUAUUUGUUGAUUAAAAGAUUCCUAAAAACAUAAGUUCAAACCAAUUCAUGGUUUGUAACUUUGUACACAGGAAUAAUAUGCAAAAGAGUGCAAUCCAAUCAAUGGAUUGUUACUUGACAAAUAAAGAGUGAUGAAUAAUAAUCUAACCAGUAACAUUUACUUUCUGUCAUUUACUUUCUACAAAUAAUAUUUACUUUAUGCCAUUUACUUUCCGCAACUAAAAUUUACUUUCUGCAACUAACAUUUACUUUCUGUCAUUUACAUUUCUGCAACUAAUAUUUAUUUAUUGUUUUAUUCUUUAUACCAACCCUUCGAAAGAAGUGGUAUGGUUAACUUCUAACUUUAUUCUUUUGUUCAUUUUAUUCUUUGAUACCAACCUUUCAUAAGAAAUGGUAUGAUUAACUUAAUAAAAUAAGACAAACAAUGAUAUGGUUAAAAGGAAUCCGAAAAUGGGGUAAAUAAAUAAAGUCACCAAAUAAAUAAGUUGUUCAUCACUCAUCACUCUAAAAUAAAAUCAGCUUGCAAGGCAUUCAAAUUACCCUUCAACAAAGUGACACAUGUUGUUGUUGAGGGGUGGAUUCCUACUGCCCGCGAAUCUUGAUUUUUCAACAAGAUAUAACAAUUUUUACUGAUGUUAAUUGAUUAAGGGAGUAUAUAAUCGAUUAAACUCAGUAAAGAAAAUUGAACAAAUGCACAAAAUCUGUAGUUAAUAGACUAAUUGUUGCAUUUAAUCGAUUAAAAAACAUAAAUUUAAGUUUUCCAGCAACGUAAUGAACAUACAUUCAGAACAAUCAUUUGCACAUAUAGUCUCAUAAGAAAUUUAAGCACCAUGCAUGCACGAUAUGUCAAGAAUUCAACAUACAUUACAAAUAAAGUCGGACAUGUUCAUAACAAGUUACAAAAUGAAGUACGAGUAAGCGAGAUAUCAAAAAUAUUACAAACCGGAAAUUUAAAAUGAGUCAAGCAAAAAGAAUACCAAAUAUAGAUGCAAAACACUCAAACUCACCCUAAAUCCUAAUCUAACUUAAAUACUCCUAAGCUAAACUAUUCUUGAGGUGGCGAUGGUGAUGGUGGAUUACUUUGCAUGGCUCUCAACUUGAAGAUACCAUGAUCAAUUUACUGUGUGGUCCGUUCCUCCUACUUAUAGAACUCAAUUGUCAUUAUAUCUCUCAAGGAUUGAAAGCUUACGUCCACACGCUCAUUCAUGUGUUGUUCCAUGGAAUCCAGUUAAGUAGAACCAAAAUCAAAAUUAUGAGAUGCAUUUGAAGUCUCAGCCUGUGGUUGUGCAAUGCUUGGUUCACCCUGAUUUUCAUUACCCUCAUCAUCAAAGAAAUCAAAAUUCAUAGUUGUAUGAUCUUCCUAGUACUUCCAAGUACCACCAUACUUAUAAAUUCACAUUUUGUGAAUUAGAUUUUCUCCGAUAAGGUGCUCACGAGAGUUUGUGGUCAUGACUCCUACAUCAGAUACAUCAAUCUCCAUAUGAUCGAUAAUCCUCGAUAUAAAAAUCUCAUAUACAAGCACCCUAGAAGAUGAAGAUGCAGUACCAGAUAUAACUUUUAGGAUUUUAGUAUGCCAAAUAACAAUAAUACAUUCUUUAACAACAAACAUCAACUUCAAAUCAUUUAUCGUUGGUUGAGCAAAGUUGGUGUUCCUUUGAACCAUGAUAUAAGCAAUUAAGUAAUGAAGAAGACGAUUUUAUAUGGUGAGAGACCCAACUUUGAGUAGCUCACCUUGCAUAUAGUAUUGAGGACCCUUUAAGCAUGAUUUGUACAUCAUAACAACAUCAAAAGUUUCCCAUGGGCUAUCAUCGUAACCACCUAAGGGAAAUCCAUUACUAGACAAACCUCUUACUUCCAUAAACAUAUUUUCAUCCAAAGUAAUUAAUUUUCCCUUAACCAUAGUCAUAUGUAAUCCCUCCCUAACAUGGAAAUUGUUAUAGAAUUCUCUAACCAAAGAUGGGUAAAUGUUACCGUUUAAUUCCAGAAAUUGGCUAGCUCCUUUUGAUUCCAUUUGAUGAGGGAACUCAAGGCACUGCUACGCCAACCACGUCAUGUCGAGAUAUCUAAUAUACAUUAGCUUUCGUCCAUGAUACUUUGCCAAACGUGAGGCUUCAAAAGUUUGGGAAUAGAAUGGAUCCUUCUUAGCAGAUGAAGAUCUACCAGUUUUAGUGGUUCGAUGUCUUUUUACGGUGGUCUUUAUUCUAACUUGCCUUUGUUCACUCAUAAUUCAGGUAUAAUAAAGAUUUUAUCGAUUAAGGUGGAUUAAAUCAAGUUAGGGUUUAGGUUUCUAAAUUGGGGAUUUUGGUUUUUUUUAGAGAAAUUUGUCGUUGAGGAUAGAUGAUUUUGAGAAGAAGGAUUAUAAGAGUUCACGAAUUUGACAAAGUAACACUUAUUUUCAAGUGACAUGAUGGAAAGACAAGGGGGCACAAAUUGGGAAUUAGAGUUCUUAAGUUUGGAACCCUAAGACAGAACUGAAAUCACUUAUAUUUCUAUCAUUAAUCAAUUAUUGUGUCUCGUUAAUUGAUUAUUGUUAUUCAAAAAUUGAAUCUCAUAGCUACUGUAAGUUAUUUAAUCGAUUAUGAUUGAGAGGUAAUCGAUUACAACCCACAUAACAUACCCAGAUAAUCGAUUAGAACAUGGCCUAAUCGAUUGAUCAAAUCACUAGUACAUAUUUUGAGUCAAUCUUGGUGACGCUGACACAUUUAGGCUAGACACACACUUUCUAAAGCUUAAGAGCAACACAUUUCAACCACACACAAAUCAUAAAGGCAAUUAAGCAUUAUAACAUACAUUCAACAUAUAUUAGCAUAGGGAAAACAUGGCAAGACAAAAAAUAUAAACUUAAAAACAAGCUAGGUUAGAUAUGAUUCAUCAAGGAUUCCAAGUUCUAUCUAAAGAACAAAGAAUGUGUCUCGUGAAAGGGGUUUGACGAAUAUAUCAGCUAGUUGUUUUGAAGUUUCUACAAAUUCAAUUACAUAGUCACCUUUUUAUACAUGAUCCCUAAGAAAAUGAUGUCGGAUUUCUAUAUGCUUAGUACACAAAUGCAAGAUGACGUUCCUUGAUAGGUUUAUGGCACUCGUGCUAUCACACUUGACCAGAAUGUGAUUAAGAUUAAGACUAUAGUCAUGCAAUUGAUGCUUCAUAUAUAGGAUUUGAAUGCAACACAUGCCAGCAACUAUAUAUUAUGCUUUGGCAGUUGACAAUACAUACUUGCUUCUUGUUAUGCCAUUAAACAAGGGAGCUACCUAACAGGUAGCAAGUCCCAUUACUACUCUUAUGAUUCAGAAUCAGAAUACCCUAUCAAAGAUAGUGAGUAAUCUCUAGGAUACCAUAGAUCCAUAUCUAUUGUUCCUUUUAGAUACUUUAUGAUUUGUUUUACGAUAGUAAAAUGUGAUUCCUUAGGAUUUGACUGCAAGAGGAGUCAAAGUUUGCAAGUCUGGUCUUCCACGUAGUUUUGAUGAAGACAAUGAUUUGAGGAAAGCUUGAAGAUUGAUUCAACUGAACAAACAACAAGCCGAAGACUCAAGGUCAUCUAGAAAUAGAAAAUUCUUUUAUAUAUUUUUAGAGUGCUAAGAUGAUUGAUUAGUUUGAGUCUAGGUUAGGUAAACCAAGGCAGAUAAUCGAUUAGAACAUGGCCUAAUCGAUUGAUCAAAUCACUAGUACAUAUUUUGAGUCAAUCUUGGUGACGCUGACACAUUUAGGCUAGACACACACUUUCUAAAGCUUAAGAGCAACACAUUUCAACCACACACAAAUCAUAAAGGCAAUUAAGCAUUAUAACAUACAUUCAACAUAUAUUAGCAUAGGGAAAACAUGGCAAGACAAAAAAUAUAAACUUAAAAACAAGCUAGGUUAGAUAUGAUUCAUCAAGGAUUCCAAGUUCUAUCUAAAGAACAAAGAAUGUGUCUCGUGAAAGGGGUUUGACGAAUAUAUCAGCUAGUUGUUUUGAAGUUUCUACAAAUUCAAUUACAUAGUCACCUUUUUAUACAUGAUCCCUAAGAAAAUGAUGUCGGAUUUCUAUAUGCUUAGUACACAAAUGCAAGAUGACGUUCCUUGAUAGGUUUAUGGCACUCGUGCUAUCACACUUGACCAGAAUGUGAUUAAGAUUAAGACUAUAGUCAUGCAAUUGAUGCUUCAUAUAUAGGAUUUGAAUGCAACACAUGCCAGCAACUAUAUAUUAUGCUUUGGCAGUUGACAAUACAUACUUGCUUCUUGUUAUGCCAUUAAACAAGGGAGCUACCUAACAGGUAGCAAGUCCCAUUACUACUCUUAUGAUUCAGAAUCAGAAUACCCUAUCAAAGAUAGUGAGUAAUCUCUAGGAUACCAUAGAUCCAUAUCUAUUGUUCCUUUUAGAUACUUUAUGAUUUGUUUUACGAUAGUAAAAUGUGAUUCCUUAGGAUUUGACUGCAAGAGGAGUCAAAGUUUGCAAGUCUGGUCUUCCACGUAGUUUUGAUGAAGACAAUGAUUUGAGGAAAGCUUGAAGAUUGAUUCAACUGAACAAACAACAAGCCGAAGACUCAAGGUCAUCUAGAAAUAGAAAAUUCUUUUAUAUAUUUUUAGAGUGCUAAGAUGAUUGAUUAGUUUGAGUCUAGGUUAGGUAAACCAAGGAUGAAAAUCUCACAAAGCUAAAAUUAAGUAAAACUUAAAAUAAGAGAGUCCUUCAUCCAUUCAUGAUAGGUAAUAUGCAUUAAUUUCAUUGCAUAAAUAUAUCACUUAUCUUGAAAUCAUAUAUAAUUCUAACUUUCACCCUUAGUCUUAGUUUGCCAUCUUAUACUUACACAAAGGUCCUGGGUGCUAAAGAUUACUCCUCAAUUCAUUGCAAGUUGAGUCUCAUCAACAUAUAUGCAUAGGCUUAUGGAGGUAGUAGCCAAGCCAAUGUGUCGAGCUACAAUAAGCCAGAAUACACACCACACCUUGCCAAAUUGGCACCUGCGACCGAGUCACACCAUGCCAAAAGUAUCGUGCCAAGGGCCAAGCCGACAUGCUAGAUGACCAAGCCUAGCAUAGUGCCAACAUGACAAAUGAUCGAGCCAAGCACAUUACCAAAGGGCCAAAUGACUAAGGUACCAACAUGUCAAAUAACCGAACCAACUAUCGUGCUAAUAUGCCGCACGACCGAGCCAAGCAUCAAAACCCAAUGUGUCAAGGACUAAGAUAGAUGCCACAUAACCGAGCCAAACAUCAAGACAAAGCAUGCCAAUGAUCAAGCUGGAGGCCAUGAGACUCGUGCCAAAAGCCAUACUAGAGGUCUAAGCAGCAAGCCACAACAAACAAUUGUGAUGCAAAAUCACUUGCACGUGUCACAAGCAAUCAUUGUAAAACUUGGAUAUGUUGUUAAUGACAUGUGUAAAUCAGUUAUUGGGUUAGUUAGAAAGUUGGUUAUUUAGUAUUCAGUAUAAAAGGACAAGUUAAUUCAUUAUAAAAUCAUUCAAUUCAAUUUAGUUAAAGUCAAUAUUAUUUAUCUUCUUCAUUCUCUUCUCUUUUCACCUCUUGUUUGGAGGUGUUUCAGUUCUUGUGUUACUUAAUCUUACUUAAAGAUCAAAAUGAUAAAUGUAUCGUAUAACUCAAUUGUUCCAAUAGUAGAUUCAGAUCCUUACUUUUUGACCCUUCUAAAUGAUAUCUUUCAAUUUUAACUUAGUUCCACCGAUUUCAUUAGAUGUUCGAAAUAAAAGGAAAUUAAUAAGACAUGAGAAACUUUUCGAAGAAAAUAAAAUAGAAAUUUCACCAAGUUAUACAUUUCCAAUGCACUCACGGGUGUACAUGCACACCCUGACAUGCACACAGAACGACACACGCAAUGAAAGAAAGAGACAAAUAAAUAAACAGAGAAAAUGUCAAGUGAUUGUAAAUUUACAAUGCAUGACUUCGUGAAUAAGGCAGAAUAGAAAAUUCCCAAGCUUGCACUAGUAACACACAAUUUCCUACGGUGCUAAUUUAUGUCCUUUGGCCUUUGGUACAACAGAAGUUGAACUUCAUAGUAUAGAAACUAAAACACAAUUUCUUCACUACGUCUGCUCAAGUUUCUCAGACGACGUUAUUAACUUAUUCGACGGGAUUCCUGUAAACAUCAUCAGACAGAAGUGACAGUUAUAGCACAUGGGUUAUAAUAAGAUUCUAUCAUGCAAAAAGAUAAACACAAUGUUAUUUUUCUUAAACCAAUCGCGUUAAAAAGUGUUAAUCAUAUCUACUUUGUUGAAAGUAAAAAAAAAUGUAUGCAUAGUGUAAUAAUUUUAUUAGAAAAAAAGUGUAUGCACCAAUUAAAGUCUUAUACAUUGUAACUGGAUUACCAAUUAUUUAUAUUUAAUUAUUAUUAACUCUUUAAAAAAGGUAAUACAAAUAAUUGAUGAAUGAUAUACUCAUUGUGUAAAACCUUUACAUUCCCAUGAUAUAUAUUACAAUCUAAUUUUAUAUAUUGUCACUGCAUAAUCAAUUUAAUCCUUUCUUAAUUAAUUAUUCUAAAAAAUAAUAUACAUGAAUGAUUAAUGAUGUACAUGUAUAUAAAUUUAUAUAACAAUAUAUACAUAUUACAAUUUUCUUUAAAAGCAUAUGAUUGCAUAUAUUAAAAAUGUUGUGUAAUAUAUCCAAAAAAUAUAUAACCGUAAUUUCUUUCAAUAACGUCCUUUUGUAACCAAAAAAACUUUUCUAAUGUGUAGUUUGUGGUCUAACUAUUUAAUGCACAUAAAUCUUAGCAAAAUUUGAUAUUAAUUCAUUGAUUUAUUACAUAGUCACAUAGUUAUUAUUAAAAGGAAUCCAACCAUAUCUUAUAUCCUCCUAAUUCUAAAUAAAGCAAAUAUUUAAGAACAUAAAUAUUAAAGUGAAAGAUUUGUACUAGAAAUUAGAUUUAUUCCUAAUCCUAUUGUUUUCACACAGGAGCAGCAAAGUUAAAAGUUCAAUAUUAAUCAUACUACCUUUAAAUAUAUUUAAUAUUCUGAACACUUAAAUCCAUCUGGAGGGGUCUUGCCACAAUCAAGUAGGAGCUGAAGAGCAAUGGGAAUAACGAUAUUGAUGUUAAGCAAUUUGGCCCUAAUGGUAGUGCACAGGCACACGGCAGCGUCCAAGCCCAAGAGCCCUUCAAGCACUGGACAACAAGUUUGUGUAGCACUUCCACCAAUUCCAAUGUGUAUGAGGCCACCAAGAACAUCCACACAUGUACUUAGCUUCAAGGUGUUAAUGGGGCAAGUUCCUUGUGCUGGUGUUGUUGGUGGUGGUGGUGGAGGAUAAGGUGUUUCAGUUGGUGGGGUUGGUGGAGUAACCACCGGUGGUGUUGGUGAAGGUGGUGUUACAGUAGGAGGUGGUUGAGGGACAUAGGGAGGUGAUAUGAUUGGUGGUGUGGGUAUAACUGGUGGUAAUGGGACAAAAGGAGGAGGAUACACAAUUGGUGGUUUCACCACUGGUGGCUUAGGUACAUAAGGUGGGGUCACUGGCACCACUACUGGUGGCUUUGGUACAUAAGGUGGGGUCACUGGCACCACUGGUGGCUUAGGGACAUAGGGUGGUGACACUGGUGGCUUAGGGACAUAGGGUGGUGACACUGGUGGCUUAGGGACAUAGGGUGGUGACACUGGUGGCUUAGGGACAUAGGGUGGUUUGACCACUGGUGGUUUAGGGUAUGGAGGUGGUUUAACAACUGGGGGUUUUGGGACAUAAGGUGGAUGCACUAUUGGUGGUUUAACAAUGGGUGGUUUUGGAACAUGGGGUGGAUGCACUAUUGGUGGUUUAACAGUGGGUGGUUUUGGAACAUGAGGUGGAUGCACUAUUGGUGGCUUAACAAUGGGGGGUUUUGGGACAUGGGGUGGAUGCACCACAGGGGGUUUAGGAACAUGGGGUGGUUUUGGUGAUGAUUGUGGUGGUGGACAGGGUUGUGGCUUGCCAUGAUAUGGAGGUUGUUUUGGUGCUUUGUGAACUGGUGGCUUCACUAUAUUGUGG